AUUGAACGCUGGCGGCAUGCCUUACACAUGCAAGUCGAACGGCAGCACGGGGGCAACCCUGGUGGCGAGUGGCGAACGGGUGAGUAAUACAUCGGAACGUGCCCAGUCGUGGGGGAUAACGUAGCGAAAGUUACGCUAAUACCGCAUACGAUCUAUGGAUGAAAGCGGGGGAUCGCAAGACCUCGCGCGAUUGGAGCGGCCGAUGGCAGAUUAGGUUGUUGGUGGGGUAAUGGCUUCCCAAGCCUCCGAUCUGUAGCUGGUCUGAGAGGACGAUCAGCCAAACUGGGCCUGAGACACGGCCCAGACUCCUACGGGAGGCAGCAGUGGGGAAUUUUGGACAAUGGGCGCAAGCCUGAUCCAGCAAUGCCGCGUGCAGGACGAAGGCCUUCGGGUUGUAAACUGCUUUUGUACGGAGCGAAAUGGCUCUCACUAAUACUAGGGGCUAAUGACGGUACCGUAAGAAUAAGCACCGGCUAACUACGUGCCAGCAGCCGCCGUAA
rnacentral:rRNA from 1 species